rnacentral:lncRNA from 1 species
UGACAAUCUGAUGGGCCGUGGCAGCCGUGGGAAGGCGGCUGGAAGGACACCUGAGUUCCCCACACAAGUUCCAACACGGAUCAGCGGGCGCAGGGGCUGCUGGUCUCAGCGGGGGCAGCAGCAUGCGAGGGCUGACUCAGGCGCGCCCUCCUAGAGACAGGCAGAGUCCGGCAGGGUGCUACCUGCCCGGGUCCGCCCGGGGUUCCUUUUGUUGGGACUGCUAGAACUCGAAGGCAUUAACUGGUCCCAGGGCCUCAGAGUGCAGGGUUAAUCCCUUGUGGACAGGCUAUAGAAAGGCCUAUGCUGAGUUCCUUCGCCAUGCCCUCUCCACUGUCACCGUUGUCACCCACUCACUCAUUCCUACGUCAGCACGCUUAUUCCACGUGCGCUGGAAUGAGCACGCAUUCCCUGCACCCCGCCUGUCCUCUGCCCCGGAACAGCGAAAUCAAGGUGACAAAUCUAGCGGCCAAAGCAACUGGGCAGGUGGAAAGGAGGGGACAUGGGCUGGAGAGGGUCAGGGCUUGGCAACUCUGCCCUUCAUUUCUCCGGCCUCCCUCACGUCUGGCCAUUUUGUUCCAGCUCUUGAAAUAUCUGCUCUGCCCUCCCGGAAGCUGCUGGCUUCAGGCAGGACCGUUCCUCCUAUCUGCUCAGUCCAAUUCAGUCUUGUCACCUCCCUGUAGCGGUCACUGGACAGAAACUGGGAUGUGCUGUCCACCCUGGCUGGGCUCCUGGGUGGCCAGGAGGCUCUUGGAAAGCCCUCUUCAUCCCCACUCAUGGAACUCUUGCAGCUCUUUUCCGGAAUGGCUUCCCGAUGAGGUAAUGCUUCUUGCAGACGGGAGGAGGUCCUGGAGAAUGGCCGCCAGUGGCCUCCUUGCCUGGGCGACCUGCCCAAGGCACAAAAUGAGCCCUUUUUGGUGGCUGAAAGGAAGACCAGGCCCUAGACUCCAGACCUUCAUUCGUCACCCAGCCUUGAGCUGAGACUAUCCUAGUCCUGGGCUGAGCCUGUAGCCUCAACCAAGGGGAAACUAAGGCCUGAGGGGGGAGGGGCCGGCUACACUCAGAGCCCCAGAAAGAAUCCACAGCUACUCCUGUUUGACACUCUGAGGGACAAGGAAAGCCUCCUGGUUCACCCUCUUGGGUCUGAGGAGUCUCUCUGACUGUUAAGCUUCUGUUAAGGAGCUGGGUGGAUGCUCGCCCAGAGGACGACUGCUGGGUUAUCCACUAUCCGCUCUAUAUCCUGGGAGAGAGAGAAGCUGCAGAGAAAGCUACAGAGAGAAGCUGCGGUAUGCCAGGAAAGUACUGAAGAGGCUUGAUUCCUCACUCCUGCCCUGUGCCUGCCAGGCCCGGCACUGGUGAUGAGGUCCCCAGUCCCCACAUAGUCCAGAAGCACCCACACCUCAGGCUUGGAAAACAAUAUGAAACUUCUCACUUCUGAGGCUGGUGGCCGCAGUGCCUGGCACCUGGGGUUGGCACAGGAAGACCUUCAGGACUCAAUAGCAGCACAACUUCAGUGCUUGGUGGGAUUGGGACACGGGCUAGAAGAUGACUCUGUGAAGCACUCAGGCCUAGUGUCUGCAGGCCCAGCUGGCCCUGUCCCCGAUUUGAAUUUAUUGUGCAAUGUUAUCCAAGCCCCCCAUCCCCCACCCCCUUCCCUGGCUGGGUCUCAAUUUCCCCAUCUGCAGACAGGAGGAGGGCAGGAGAGGCCUCAACUGGACUCCAGAGCGCCCCAGGUCUGGCGGCCCAGACCUGCAGCUGUGUGGGCGCAGCCUCUCUGGGCAGGAAGUUAAUUUCCGCGUUGGAGGCGAUGCCUGAAGUGGGCCCAGUGCUUGCUGCAUGUUCAGAUGAGGGCCGGGCUGGUGAAGUCAUGUGGGAGGUAGCAGCAGAGGCAGGAUCCAAGCCAAGAUUUCUCUGCUGGCCUGGAGUGACCUUGUUCAGCCUCCCUUGCUCAGCAGCCCCCACCUCUCUUGCCUACACAAAGCUCUGGCUCUACAAGGGAAGACAGGUCCUCUUGGAAGGUGGGCCUGCACCCUCUUCUGCCCCCUGGUGGCUAUGAGGACAUAUGGCAGUUUGGUCAGGACUUUGAAGGCUACAGGGCCAUCAUCCACCCAGAACCAGACACAUGAUCACCAUCAUCCCCCCACACAGGGCCAGACACCCACAGGGUCUCAAGAAUACACAGGGAUAUAGACACCCACAAAGGCACAGACACCCACAGUACCAAGAACUCACAGAAUUGGGAACCUACAGGGUCACUGACAAUCAGAGCCACAAUGGCCCACAGGACCUCAGGCACCCACAUGAUGGGCACCCGUAGGGAUGGGGUACCGUCACUGGGAGGCCUGGUUAUGACACACACCCCCCCCCAGGAGGAGGUCACUGCCACCUAUGUCUCUGGAGUGUGCAGUUCAGGUCGGGAGUGGUUAGGGCCUACAGGAAAUGCACAAAGAUGGGAACAAUGUUGAGAGGAAAAAAGUGCUCACCCAACCUGGGAUCAGCCCUCUGGUGCUUCUGGCUGCAGUGUUGGGGGAUGGACGAGAGGCCGAGGCACAUGUCCUUUUAGCUCUCAAUGGUGACAGUGAAGGGAAGGGCUCAGUGUGUUGUUCUUCCCAUUGUCUCCUGACCCAGCAGCAGCAGCACAGGACAGACAGGCACCCACUAGCCUUGGCCUGAUCCUGCAGCAGCAGGCUUUCAGAAUGAUGGACAAUUUCUCUGAGGCCCUCCAAGUGCUGAAGGCCGUACUACAGUAGGGCUAUAUAAACCAGGGCGGCCAGCCCAGUCUGGCUCCUAGGAACUUAGUGCCUCCAAUAUCAUCAUCAGGGAUAGGGGUGGACUGGUCAGUCUUUAGAAUGUGCCAGAACGCUGGGGAGUUGGCUCAGCCAUUAAGAGCUGCUCUUCCAGAGGACCUGGGUUUGAUUCUUAGCACACGUAUGGCCUCUCACUACUUACUACCUGUAAUCCCAGUCCCAGGAGCUCUGACACCCUCUUCUGGUCUUGUCAGGUACUGAACAUGCAUGGUGCAAAGAUCUACAUGCAAACAAAACACCCACACACAGGAAAAAAAAUGAAAUCUUUAAAAAAAAAAAGAAUUUCCAAGGUCUGCUCAGCGGCUUCUCCAGAAUGCCCCCUCCCAGCACCCCUUUUCUUCUCCCACCCCCCAAAUCCUGCCUGGGUCCUGUGGCUAAACCUCUUCCCCACCCCUGACCCUCACCAGGAUACCUGGCUCAGGGAAUGACAGGGUCCCACCAGUGCCAUCACAUUAGAACACCAAUGGUCAACGCCCACGGGGGCCAAGCAUCCAUUGCACUGGCAGACAAACUGAGGCUACAAUAGAGGAUCUGGCAAGGCCAAGGACUAGCUAGACACAGACCUGGGGCUGGGGUGGAUCUAGAGUCCAGGGAUAGUCACCAGUCCAGAGUGAUACUGACACUGUGACACUGGACCCCCCCAGAGGGAGGUUUCAGCCAUCAACCCAACUGGGACCUCCUCCAUAUCUCCCACCCUGGAGUAGAGGAGGAAGGGUCAUAUCAUGACGCCCUGACUUAUGAGACAGGGCUGAUAGAAAGAGAGGACCAGGGUGAAGACCUAGAACUUUCCAUGUUCAAGUCCAGAAGACUGGGAAUCUGAUACUAGUGUCUGAGGGCACUGGGAAUAAAUCUCCAUUACCCCUCCCCCCACCCCAUUUGAUGUCCCUUCUUCUCCAUCUUCUAAAAAGGAGAUACUUGGAGAUUGAGAAUGUCAUGAUUUGGGUUUAUAGAGGAGCCAUGACCCCCAGCAGAUGCUCUGGUGGAAAAAGACAGCAUGGCAUGACCAGGAGAAGGAAUUGGCCUACCGUGACUGGUGGUCCAGUGGCCUGGUAGGUUAUCCAGUAUACAUCAGGGCAAGGUGCGCAGUGAUGGGGGCAAUUGCUCAACUCCUCUCCAGGCCUCUGCCCUCUCAGCUGGGCAUCAAUGAACAGCCAUCCUAACCUCUCUGUAUUUCAUCAGGACAGUCCUUACUUCCCAGAGGACAAUGGAUUAACACAUAUGGAGAAGGGGCAGGGGAUAGUCUAGCAAUCCUAGAAGAGAUGGUACAUUGGUGCUGAGGAGAGAGAUUCUAGAUGAACAAGAUCUGACCCAAGCUCUUGGGAGUUGACUGGGAUGAGGGAUGGCCAUGCCAGCCCUCCCAGGAAGCCUGGUAUAAGAAGUGACUCAUAUCAGGAGCUUGGGGAACAAGGUUCCUAGACCUUCAUUGUAUUACCAAUAAGGAUAGAAGAUGGAGGGGAAACUCUCUCCAUUGGAGCAUACCAGGGCCUUCACGUGGGCUGGAUCAGGCAGAUGCAGUGAAUAGUCUUAGGGCUGGUGGCUGACAGAGACUUUGUGAGCUUUGGUCUAUGGACCUGGAGCAGGCUCCGAGCAGCCUGUGGAGUAUUUAUUAUCAUGCCCUGGUCUCUAUCCUUUAAUCCAGCCCAGGGCACCCAACAGAACAGGAACUACAUAGAUGUCAGAGGACCUAAGAUGCUAGAUGCAAUUCUAAAAGCCUAGAAGUUAUUGUCUGAGGGUUAAAAUAAGUCUUAUAAUUCAUCAAGGGGGUGGUGGUACACACACAUUUAAUCCCAGCACUUGGGAGGCAGAGGCAGGUGGAUCUCAUUCUGGUCUACAGAGUGAGUUCCAGGACAGCCAGAGUUGUGCAGAGAAACUCUGUCUUGAAAAACAAACCAACAGAAACAAAAAAGAAAACAAAAACAACAGCAGCAACAACAACAUAAUUCUAGGGCUGGAAGAUGGCUCAGUGGUUAAGAGCACUGGCUGUUCUUCCAGAGGACCUGGGUUCAAUUCCCAGCAUGCCUGGGAAAGCCAGUGCAGCUCACACCUGUCUGUAACUCCAGUCCCAAGUCGUGUGACCCUCGCACAGACACACGUGCAGGCAAAACACCGAUGCACAUAAACAUUAAAAGACUUCAUAAUUCUAAGAUGAUAACCAGGACCCCUUAAAGGAGGGCUUUGUGGUGCUGCUUUCCGGUUUGCUCCCAUGGCUCGCUCAGCCUGCUUUCGUAUAAAGACCAGGACCAUUUGCCUAGGGUUAGCACCGCCCAUAGUAAGCUGGGCUGUCCCACAUCAAUCAGCAAUCAAGAAUUCAAUCCAGCGGAGGCAUUUCCUCAGUUGCGAUUCCUUCUUUCCAGAUACUCUAGCGUAUGUCAAAGUCACACAAACUAACCAGCACAAGGUCUCACUAGGCAGCCCGAGCUGGCCUUGAACUCAAAAUUCUCCUGCCUCAGUCUGCCCGGCACUGAAAUUACAGGUAUGGCUUCUACACUUGGUGAGGAAUAGUCUUUUUUAUUUUUCUGAUUUUUAAAUUUUAUUUUAUGAGCAUGAGUGCUUUGCCUGCCUGCAUGUAUGUGCAUCAAAUGCAUGUCUGGUGCCUGCGGAUGUCAGAAGAGAAUGUCCGAUUUCCCUGGGAUUAGAGUUAUAGAAGUUGUGAGAUAUUGUGUGGUUCUAGGAACCAAACCUUUGCAGGAGC